rnacentral:rRNA from 1 species
CUACGGGGGGCACCAGGCGCGAAACCUUUACAAUGCACGAAAGUGUGAUAAGGUAAUCCCAAGUGCUUAUGCUUUGCAUAGGCUUUUUUCAAGAGUAAACUUCUUGGAGAAUAAGUGGUGGGAAAGACCGGUGCCAGCAGCCGCGGUAAUACCGGCGCCACAAGUGGUGACCAUUUUUAUUUGGCCUAAAGCGUCCGUAGCCUGUUUGAAAACUCUCUUGUGAAAUUGUUGAGCUCAACUUAACAACGUGCAGGAGAAACUGUCAAACUCGAGACCGGGAGAAGUCAGGAGUAUGUUAGGGGGAGCGGUAAGAUGCUAUAAUCCCUGAUAGACUACCAGUGGCGAAGGCACCUGACUAGUACGGUUCUGACGGUGAGGGACGAAAGCUAGGGGAUCGAUCCGGAUUAGAUACCCGCGUAGUC